CACGUAGGCGGCUCUUUAAGUCAGGGUGAAAUCCUGGAGCUCAACUCCAGAACUGCCUUUGAUACUGAGGAGCUUGAGUCCGGGAGAGGUGAGUGGAACUGCGAGUGUAGAGGUGAAAUUCGUAGAUAUUCGCAAGAACACCAGUGGCGAAGGCGGCUCACUGGCCCGGUACUGACGCUGAGGUGCGAAAGCGUGGGAGCAAACA
rnacentral:rRNA from 1 species